UUGCUGGUGAAAAUCCAGUCUCUAAGUAAGAGCCAAGUCGUCUAGUAGCUGACAGGCAGCUGGUGGAGAAAUCCUAAGGUUGAGCCCUGUGACAAAGUAAUUUCUAUUUAUAGAAAUGCGA
rfam:Bacillus cereus AH621 contig00080, whole genome shotgun sequence.